rnacentral:rRNA from 1 species
AACACGUGAGUAACCUGCCCCUGACUCUGGGAUAAGCCCGGGAAACUGGGUCUAAUACCGGAUAUGCACCGUGGACCGCAUGGUUCUUGGUGGAAAGAUUUUUCGGUCGGGGAUGGACUCGCGGCCUAUCAGCUUGUUGGUGAGGUAAUGGCUCACCAAGGCGACGACGGGUAGCCGGCCUGAGAGGGUGACCGGCCACACUGGGACUGAGACACGGCCCAGACUCCUACGGGAGGCAGCAGUGGGGAAUAUUGGACAAUGGGCGAAAGCCUGAUGCAGCGACGCCGCGUGAGGGAUGACGGCCUUCGGGUUGUAAACCUCUUUCAGUAGGGAAGAAGCGAAAGUGACGGUACCUGCAGAAGAAGCGCCGGCUAACUACGUGCCAGCAGCCGCGGUAAUACGUAGGGCGCAAGCGUUAUCCGGAAUUAUUGGGCGUAAAGAGCUCGUAGGCGGUUUGUCGCGUCUGCCGUGAAAGUCCGAGGCUCAACCUCGGAUCUGCGGUGGGUACGGGCAGACUAGAGUGAUGUAGGGGAGACUGGAAUUCCUGGUGUAGCGGUGAAAUGCGCAGAUAUCAGGAGG